rnacentral:rRNA from 1 species
AUACGGAGGGUGCAAGCGUUACUCGGAAUUACCGGGCGUAAAGGACGCGUAGGCGGUUUAGAAAGUCAGAUGUGAAAGCCUAUGGCUUAACCAUAGAACUGCAUCUGAAACUCCUAGACUAGAGUGAGGGAGAGGUCAGUGGAAUUAGUGGUGUAGGGGUAAAAUCCGUAGAGAUCACUAGGAAUACUCAUAGCGAAGGCGACUGACUGGAACUUUACUGACGCUGAGGCGUGAAAGCGUGGGGAGCAAACAGGAUUAGAAACCCCAGUAGUCC